UAUAUAUAUAUAUAUAUAUAUAUAUAUAUAUAUAUAUAUAUAUGUAUAUAUAUAUAUAUAUAUAUAUAUAUAUCAGCACGAACAUUCCAAGCGUCAUAUUACACAUGUCGAUGAGACUGGACAACAAUCAACAUUCCCACACUCAUUACUCGGCGGGUGGACUACGUCAGCACUUUAGAAUUAUUAUGUGAAGCUAAAACCAAAAUGCAUUUUAUAAAAUUAGUUCGGUUUUUGAUAUUAACAAAGGACCUCUUCCUGCAUGCUUACACGUAUUUGUCUGAGUCGAUAGACAAGUAAGGACCAAGAGGUUACCCCCAAAGGAAGGUGUAAUAAAAAACCGGCUCAACAUCAGUGAAGGGAAAGGAGGCGCUCCAGUAGCCUAAAAUAAAAAGAGAGGUGGCACGGGUUACCAGCGGCCUUGCCAUUACAUUAAGAAAAACAGAAUAUUGAAAAGAAUAUGAAAUUGAAUAUGAAAAAUAGUGAAGAAAAUUGAAAAAAAGAAUAUUAAAAAAAUAAAUAAGAAUAUUAAAUUGUAAAAAAAAAUUAUUAUAUCAAGAAAAAUACGGAAAAUAAUGAAGAAAAUAGAAAAAUAGAAUAUUGAAAAAAUAUGAAAUUGAAUAUGGAAAAUAGUGAAGAAAAUUGAAAAAAGAAUAUUAAUAAAUAAAUAAGAAUAUGAAAUUGUAAAAAAAUUAUUAUAUCAAGAAAAAUACGGAAAAUAAUGAAGAAAAUAGAAAAAUAGAAUGUCGAAAAGAAUAUGAAAUUAAAUACGGAUAAUAGUGAAGAAAAUUGAAAAAUAAAUAAGAAUAUGAAAUUGUUAAAAAUUUGUUAUAUUUAGAAAAAACGGAAAAUAGCGAAGAAAAUAGAAUCUUGAAAAAUAAAUAAUAAUAUCAAAUUGUAAAAAAAAUUGUUGAAUUAAGAAAAAUACGGAAAAUUGUGAAGAAAAUAGGAAACUAGAUUAUUAAAAAACCCAUAAGAAUAUGAAAUUGUAAAAAAUUGUUAAAAAUAAAAGGAAAUAAUUUAAAAAAAUUAUUAUUACAAUUUAAAAAGAAUCGACAUUAAGAAAUUGAAGAAACAAAUUAAAACAAAAUUACAAUAUUUAAAAAUUCAAAUUGAACUUGGGAAAUGUUUAUAAGGUAAGUGACGGCUUUUAUUAUUUGAUUGCUAUCUCAUUAUAACCCAAAAUAACAAAUCAAUUCCCAAACUAAACUGAACAAGUGUUAAAGUUAUUAACGAAGAAUGCCAGGUGACAGCAUUGUGGAAAUAUCUGAGAUAUUGAGUAAAACUCUAUCCAUGAGUCAAUCGCAAGGCCUAGUACUAGUUCCAGUGGGUUAUCGCAGGCGAGUUCGGCUCGUGGCGUAAAUCCGUCGAAAGGGUACUUGGACUUUUCGAUAGCAUCAAAAAUACUGGCAGGUAUUACGCUAUACUCCACACAAUACGGAGUAAGAUUGUCGGGGAACCAGAUACUGCUCUCGACUCGUACAGGACACCUCUAGACUGGCCAAAAAUAAGAAAAUGCCUUAUGAUGCAUUAUUCAGAUAGGCAAGACAUUGGUACGCUCGAAUACCAAAUGGCUACAAUGUGUCAGGGCCACAGAACGAUAUCAGAGUUUUAUCAGGCAGUAUAUCAACAUCUGUCCUUGAUAUUUGAUAAGAUAGCCUGCCUUGACCUGGACGAGAGUAGUCUCGUCUCGAUGACAAACGCCCAUAGGGAUAAGGCGCUUGAUACGUUCAUCAGAGGCCUAAAGGGCAACUUGCCGAGAUUAUUAAGCAUCAGAGAACCUACAUCCUUGCCUCAGGCAUUACACAUCUGUCUGAAGCUAGAUAAUAUGGCCUAUCGCAUGCAACAUGCUCACGGACAGAUACCCAAGCCGAAUGCACGUGGUUAUAAUCAGACCUCUCAUGCAUUCACUGGCAGUAGAUUUUUUCCUGAACUCGCACAUGUGAGGGGCCAUCAAAAUGAACCUCCCAUACCACCACGGGUAAUGCAAAGACCAACGAAUUGGCAGGUGGGCCAGCACCAACCCUGCCAACAAUAUUAUGCGUUCAACAACAAUGGGUUUCAGAGGACACAAGGAUUGACCCAUAAUCAGCAACAGAAUCCUGAACCAAUGGAUAUUGAUCGCUCUCUUCAGACAAAACAGAUAAACUAUUCUAACAGGCCGCCGAUCAAUAAUAGUCUCAAAUGAACUUAUGGAGGCUCUUUCCAGGGCCCGCUAACAAAGCCUAGGGGAACUUCUACGUAAGAGCGGAAAUACCCCCUACCAACAAGUAGAGAACCAACAACAGGAUAUCGAGACGGAACCGCUUGAAGCAGCUGUAGGAGGUAUGCAGGAUGUCAGCGAGUAUUUUGAAAAAAUAAAUCACGAGUACGUCGAUGAAUCGGUACACUAUUUUGGCGAAGAAUAUAGGGCAUCGGAGAACCCAGCAGAAGACUAUUCUGUCGAAGACCUUAAUGCAGAUCUUAUUUUUUUGGUUAAACAGUUCCUCGUUGCCAUACUUUAAGAUUAAGACGAGGGAUGGAGAGAUACUUAAAAUUCGUUUGGAUACAGGCAGCAACAAAAACUAUAUUAGUCUAUUUUAGCGGAAAAGCCUCAAAAAAAUCUGGAUAUUUUUCGCGCAAAAACUAUAUCAGGGGAAGUGCAAAUAACACAUCAUACCCUUGUUAUUCUAUUUGGUGAUAAAACCCAACCUAUAAAAUUCUACCUUCUGCCAGGAUUUCGAACUUUCGAUGCAAUUUUAGGCAACGAUAAUUUAAGAGAACUAUCAGCAGUAAUUCAUACAGCAGACAAUUACUUCGCUAUUAAAAAUGACAUGAAGAUACCAAUAUAUCAAUAUGUCUCGCAGGACGUUAACAAUCUCGAAAUCAAAGGCGAUCAUCUUUCCGAACAUCAAGCGACAACAAUGAGGAAAAUAAUAAAAUCCCACAAAAAUCUUUUUGCAGACCCUGAUGAAAAAUUAACCUAUACCACAAAGGUCAUAGGCGAGAUCCGCACAACCUCCGAGGCACCCAUCUACACGAGAAACUAUCCCUACCCAAUGGCAUUAAAAAAAGUAGUAGAGGAAGAAAUAGAUAAAUUACUCAAAGAUGGAAUUAUAAGACCAUCUCGCUCCCCAUAUAAUUCGCCUCUAUGGGUGGUUCAAAAAAAGAGGACGCGUCGGGGAAAAGGAAAUAUAGAGUCGACCUGAAGAGCGGAUUUCAUCAAAUUCAUCUAAAGGCAAAGGAUAUCGAAAAAACGGCAUUCUCGAUAAAUAAUGGGAAAUAUGAAAUCACGAGACUGCCGUUCGGCCUAAAAAAUGCCCCAGCAAUAUUUCAGAGAGCAUUGUAUGAUAUUCUUAGAAAUUUCAUUGGAAGAACUUGCUACGUCUAUAUAGAUGAUAUAAUCAUCUUUAGUAAGGACGAGGAAUCGCACUGCAAACCUCUGAAUGAAAUCUUUAGCACACUUGCAGCGGCAAAUAUGAGAGUACAAGUGAAUAAAUGUGCGUUCUUUAAGACAAAGGUCGAAUUUCUAGGGUUUUCAGUUUCCGCUGAAGGCAUCAGUGCCAUGCAGGACAAAAUAGAAGCAAUGCUUACCCAUACAAACUUGAUGCAGCACUUGGAGCCGUACUUAGCCAGGAUGAUAGACCAAUAGCUUUUAUUUAAAGAGUAUUAUCACAAACGGAAGAGAACUACGCUACAAAUGAGAGGGAGAUGCUAGCUAUAGUGUGGGCUCUACAUAUCUUCAGAAAUUAUUUGUAUGGAACCGCAAAAGUUAUCUUUACUGAUCAUCAGCCUCUGACUUACGCUCUAAGCAAUAAAAACACCAAUAUUAAAAUGAAAAGAUGGAGGGCGAUCCUCGAAGAAUACAACUACGAGAUCAGAUACAAACCAGGAAAGGCGAAUAUCGUGGCAGACGCUCUCACUAGAGCACCAAUAACCAAAGUUCAUUCGCUAACCGGUACCAUUCACAGUCAAGACAGUUCCGGAGAAAAUUUAGUACCUUGGGUAGAAGCCCCUAUUAACGCAUUUAAGAAUCAACUUUUUUUCAGUGCGGGUAAUGUCGCAUCUUAUCAGUUCCAAAUAAUAUUCCCCGGUUAUCACAGACACACCAUUGUGGAAAGGGAAUAUGAUCAGCAAACUUUGUUGACACUGUUGAAAAGAUAUUUAAAUCCGUCUGUAAAGAAUGCUAUAAGUGCUCCAUAGUUGGUAUUGGGUAAAAUACAGGAAAUUUAUCCACUGCAUCUCGUCAAUUAUAAGGUUUCUUUUACACGAAUAUUUGUGGGAGACGUCAUAUCUGAGAGCGACCAAGAAAACAUUAUCAUUGAUACGCAUAACAGAGCGCAUAGAAACGCGGCGGAAAAUAAAAUGCAGAUCUUGGAGAAGUGGUAUUUUCCAGACAUGUUUUCGAAAAUAAAGAGGGUACUUAAACUUUGUUCAAUAUGCAAAAAGAAUAAAUAUGACAGGCACCCUAACGAUCCGAUAAUCAAAUAAACUCCUAUACACUGAUACCCCGGACAGGUAAUUCUCAUCCAUAUUUUUUCAACACACAAAAAAUUGGUACUGACUGCUUUGGACAAAUUUUCGAAGUACGCACAAGUCAAAAUUCUUUACGGAAAGUCUAUCGAGGAUAUUAGAAAACCCCUCAGGGAUCAAUUAUUUUUCUACGGAGUGCCGAAAACGGUCGUGAUAGAUAAUGAAAAAUCUUUGAAUUCGGCUACUAUUCUAUUUAUGAUGAGGGACGAAUUGAACAUUGAAGUAUUUACUACUCCUCCUUACUUUAGCGAAGCGAACGAAUAAGUUGAAAGAUUCCAUUCCACCCUCGCAGAAUUGCUCAGGUGUCUAAGGGCGGAGGGAGUAUGUAGAAUUUUUGAAGAACUCCUCGAAAAGUCGGUGAAUGAAUACAACCAUUCAAUUCAUUCAACUGUCGAGAGGAAACCUGUGGAUCUAUUCUUUGGACGCACAGUUGACUUUUCUCCCGGUAGCUAUGAUAGAACCCGAUAUUCAAAUAUGGAGAAAAUAAAAGAAAAACAGGAACGGAAUCUAAGGUAUCACAAUAAAAGGAAACACGAUAUUAAGGAAUAUACACCGGGUCAGUUAGUUUUUGUUAGGGUCAAUAAAAGACUAGGAACAAAACUCUCCGAGAGAUUUAAGGAAUAAAUAGUAAGGGAAAAUAGGAAUUCAACAAUAGUCACAAAAAGCCGGCGAAUCGUCCAUAAGAGGCAUAUAAGAAAUUAACUCACACCUCUAUGCACAAAUUUUCAUUUACAGAUUAUUGAUCUUAACGGCGCUGUGUGCCGGAGAAAUUCAGAUACUGUAUUACUCAAAUUCAAAAUUGGUAGCGAUGCACUCAGGACUUGCAAAGGUUCAAUCUGGCUCUUUCAAGAUAAUCCAUACCAUAAACCUAGAAAGCUAUGACAAACUCAUCGUGGAAAUAGAAAGUAAUAUUGUUCAGAAUACCAACUCAAAUCACCCCCUCAUCCCUUACCUAAAAUACACCAUAUCCCAAAUCAAAUCCUACAUAUCCCGCCUCAAACCAAAUAAUAAGUUUGAAAGGUCACUAGACUUUUUCGGCAGCGCUUGGAAAUGGCCCAUCAAGAUUAUGACAUAAUUCAGAAAAAAAAAAUAGAAAUUUUAUUGGAAAACAAUAGCAAUCAAAUCAUAAUUAUUCGCCUGUCACUUGAAAGAAUUAAUAAGCUUACCAAUGCUACAAAUGAAAUAAUUAAGAUAAUAAAAACAGAACAAAAUCUCCAUAAUGAAAAAAUACUUGAAUUUAAAAACAAACUUGAAUUUUUAAAAGAGGACAUUGCCAAUGUUGAAUUCGCAAUCCACCUAGCAAAAGCAAAUAUAGUAAACUCAUUUAUCCUUUCUACUUUUGAAAUUGAGACCCUUAAUAAUAUAUUUAAUAUAAGCAAUAUACCAUUCUCAUCUACUGAUGAACUGUUGCAUUUUGGUGAAGUUAAGAUAGCCAUUAAAGGACACAGCAUAUUGUAUAUUCUUAGCAUUCCAACUACAGACACCGGAAAUUGCAAUAAAUUAUUGAUUAAAGCCGUAAAGAGAGGGACUAUAGUAACUAAACUAGAUUAUGAUUACGUAUUAGAUUGUAAGAAUAAAAUUUUUGUCCUAAAAGGUAAAUGCAAGACAUAUAAUAGUUUAUCGAUAUGUAGUCCGGAAAUGUAUGAAGAUAUCAAAGAAACUACGUGCAUCCCAAAGCUGUUAUCAAGCCAACCCUCUAAAUGUAUCACAACCAACAACGAGCAUAUUACUACAAUAGAGGAGAUUGAGGACGACAUAUUCCAACCCAACCAAACUGUAAGCAGAACCCCGAGGAUACAGAUAAAUAACCAGGAUAGGAGCAUUCACAGCCUGCCAUUUUUCUGAGGUUCCAUUCGAGACGUAUGGAACUUAGAGGGGGAAGAAUUAACACAUUUCUCAUUGCAACUGUUGCUACACGCGCAUAUUACCCAGCCACACCAUCAUUCCAAGCGUCAUAUUGCACAUGUCGAUGAGACCGGACAACAAUCAACAUUCCCACACACAUCACUCAGCGCGUGGACUACGUCAGCACUUAAGAAUUAUUAUUAUGCUAAGCUAAAACCAAAAUGCAUUUUGUAAAAUGUUUGAUUCGGUUUUUGAUAUAAAUAAAGUAAGACGUGUUGGACUCGCACGCACACCUUUUUUAUAAAAUAAAAUAA